rnacentral:rRNA from 1 species
UACGAAGGGGGCUAGCGUUGCUCGGAAUUACUGGGCGUAAAGCGCACGUAGGCGGCUUUCUAAGUCGGGGGUGAAAUCCUGGAGCUCAACUCCAGAACUGCCUUCGAUACUGGAAAGCUCGAGUCCGGGAGAGGUGAGUGGAACUGCGAGUGUAGAGGUGAAAUUCGUAGAUAUUCGCAAGAACACCAGUGGCGAAGGCGGCUCACUGGCCCGGUACUGACGCUGAGGUGCGAAAGCGUGGGGAGCAAACAAG